AAUACCCUGCUGUGUGCGUGAUCAGCCUUGAAGUUUUGAGCCAACACCAUUAGAAAGGGAGCCCGGACUCUGAAUGUGGCUUGUAUGCCUCUCAUGCAGAGGAAACAAAAAGCAUUCAGGAGGGCACCCACCUGUUGAGAGCAGGUUCAAAAAACUUUUGGGGAUCACGGCAUGAGUGGGGUUUUU
rnacentral:other from 2 species